rnacentral:rRNA from 1 species
GAACGCUGGCGGCGUGCCUAAUACAUGCAAGUCGAACGCACAGCGAAAGGUGCUUGCACCUUUCAAGUGAGUGGCGAACGGGUGAGUAACACGUGGACAACCUGCCUCAAGGCUGGGGAUAACAUUUGGAAACAGAUGCUAAUACCGAAUAAAACUUAGUGUCGCAUGACACAAAGUUAAAAGGCGCUUCGGCGUCACCUAGAGAUGGAUCCGCGGUGCAUUAGUUAGUUGGUGGGGUAAAGGCCUACCAAGACAAUGAUGCAUAGCCGAGUUGAGAGACUGAUCGGCCACAUUGGGACUGAGACACGGCCCAAACUCCUACGGGAGGCUGCAGUAGGGAAUCUUCCACAAUGGGCGAAAGCCUGAUGGAGCAACGCCGCGUGUGUGAUGAAGGCUUUCGGGUCGUAAAGCACUGUUGUAUGGGAAGAACAGCUAGAAUAGGAAAUGAUUUUAGUUUGACGGUACCAUACCAGAAAGGGACGGCUAAAUACGUGCCAGCAGCCGCGGUAAUACGUAUGUCCCGAGCGUUAUCCGGAUUUAUUGGGCGUAAAGCGAGCGCAGACGGUUUAUUAAGUCUGAUGUGAAAGCCCGGAGCUCAACUCCGGAAUGGCAUUGGAAACUGGUUAACUUGAGUGCAGUAGAGGUAAGUGGAACUCCAUGUGUAGCGGUGGAAUGCGUAGAUAUAUGGAAGAACACCAGUGGCGAAGGCGGCUUACUGGACUGCAACUGACGUUGAGGCUCGAAAGUGUGGGUAGCAAACAGGAUUAGAUACCCUGGUAGUCCACACCGUAAACGAUGAACACUAGGUGUUAGGAGGUUUCCGCCUCUUAGUGCCGAAGCUAACGCAUUAAGUGUUCCGCCUGGGGAGUACGACCGCAAGGUUGAAACUCAAAGGAAUUGACGGGGACCCGCACAAGCGGUGGAGCAUGUGGUUUAAUUCGAAGCAACGCGAAGAACCUUACCAGGUCUUGACAUCCUUUGAAGCUUUUAGAGAUAAAAGUGUUCUCUUCGGAGACAAAGUGACAGGUGGUGCAUGGUCGUCGUCAGCUCGUGUCGUGAGAUGUUGGGUUAAGUCCCGCAACGAGCGCAACCCUUAUUGUUAGUUGCCAGCAUUCAGAUGGGCACUCUAGCGAGACUGCCGGUGACAAACCGGAGGAAGGCGGGGACGACGUCAGAUCAUCAUGCCCCUUAUGACCUGGGCUACACACGUGCUACAAUGGCGUAUACAACGAGUUGCCAACCCGCGAGGGUGAGCUAAUCUCUUAAAGUACGUCUCAGUUCGGAUUGUAGUCUGCAACUCGACUACAUGAAGUCGGAAUCGCUAGUAAUCGCGGAUCAGCACGCCGCGGUGAAUACGUUCCCGGGUCUUGUACACACCGCCCGUCACACCAUGGGAGUUUGUAAUGCCCAAAGCCGGUGGCCUAACCUUUUAGGAAGGAGCCGUCUAAGGCAGGACAGAUGACUGGGGUG